rnacentral:tRNA from 1 species
UGUAUCUUGCCCGAGUGGUCUAAGGGGGGCGGACUUAAGAUCCGCUAGACGUUUGUCUGCCGUGGCGUUCAAACCCCACAGGUACCA